AGUAAGGUGCUAUUCAGCACCACCAAAUGCAUCUGAAUCUCAUCUU
rfam:Chaetura pelagica isolate M959 contig10701, whole genome shotgun sequence.